GGGCUAACUUCGUGCCAGCAGCCGCGGUAAUACGAAGGGUGCUAGCGUUGUUCGGAAUCACUGGGCGUAAAGCGUGCGUAGGUGGCUUGGCAAGCCAAGGGUGAAAUCCCGGAAGCUUAACUCCGGAAUUGCCUUUGGAACUGCUUGGCUAGAGGAUAUUAGAGGUAAGUGGAAUUUCUAGUGUAGGAGUGAAAUCCGUAGAUAUUAGAAGGAACAUCGACUGCGAAGGCAGCUUACUGGGAUAUUUCUGACACUGAGGCACGAAAGCGUGGGGAUCAAACAGGAUUAGAUACCCUGGUAGUCCACGCCCUAAACGAUGGGUGCUAGACGUCGGGUCAACAAAACAGAGUAAGCUCUGGUUUGUUGACUCGGUGUCGUAGCUAACGCGUUAAGCACCCCGCCUGGGAGGUACGGUCGCAAGAUUAAAACUCAAAGGAAUUGACGGGGACCCGCACAAGCGGUGGAGCAUGUGGUUUAAUUCGAGGCAACGCGAAGAACCUUACCAGAUCUUGACAUGCCAUCUAAACCCUUUGUAAUGAAGGGCUCGGUUCGGCCGGGAUGGACACAGGUGCUGCAUGGCUGUCGUCAGCUCGUGUCGUGAGAUGUUGGGUUAAGUCCCGCAACGAGCGCAACCCUCAUCUUUAGUUACCAGCGGGUAACGCCGGGGACUCUAAAGAAACUGCCUAUGACAAGUAGGAGGAAGGCGGGGAUGACGUCAAGUCAGCACGGCCCUUAUGAUCUGGGCUACACACGUGCUACAAUGGUGGUGACAGUGGGCAGCGACUGCGCGAGCAGAAGCUAAUCUCCAAAAACCAUCUCAGUUCGGAUUGCACUCUGCAACUCGAGUGCAUGAAGCUGGAAUCGCUAGUAAUCGCAUAUCAGCAGGAUGCGGUGAAUACGUUCCCGGGUCUUGUACACACCGCCCGUCACACCAUGGGAGUAGGUUGCUCCAGAAGUAGUUAGCCUAACCGCAAGGGGGGCGAUUACCACGGAGUGAUCCAUGACUGGGGUGAAGUCGUAACAAGGUAGCCGAAUCUCUGAAGAUCCGCGCAC
rnacentral:rRNA from 1 species